UACGUAGGGUGCGAGCGUUAAUCGGAAUUACUGGGCGUAAAGCGUGCGCAGGCGGUUGUGUAAGACAGAUGUGAAAUCCCCGGGCUCAACCUGGGAACUGCAUUUGUGACUGCACAGCUGGAGUGCGGCAGAGGGGGAUGGAAUUCCGGCGUGUAGCAGUGAAAUGCGUAGAUAUGCGGAGGAACACCGAUGGCGAAGGCAAUCCCCUGG
rnacentral:rRNA from 1 species